CAGGGAGACAACAAAAUGUUUAAUAUUAAUUUUGUCACCUUAGGUCGAUCGGUAUCUCACAUUCUUAAUUUUUAAGGAUUUUAUUUCCUAAGUUUUUUUCUAGGUCACACCCAUUACUUUUCCUGGGCCAUUAGCUCAGGUGGUUAGAGCGCACCCCUGAUAAGGGUGAGGUCCCUGGUUCAAGUCCAGGAUGGCCCAUAUCUCUAUGUUGGGGGUAUAGCUCAGUUGGUAGAGCGCCUGCUUUGCAAGCAGGAUGUCAGCGGUUCGAGUCCGCUUACCUCCACUGUUCACCACCUCUUUCAUAAAUUGAUAAAAGGAAUUGUUUUGAGUCGUGAUCAAAUUCUGAACGAAUCUAGCCUCCUAAUCAUUCUUAUUAAGAUGCUGGACUCAUUGAAUUAAUUUCACUGUUUUCAGAGAACCUUGACAACUGCAUAGAUUAUUUUAAAGACAAUAAGCAUCUUUGAUGAUGCAGAUUUAUUAUUUGUGCAAAUGCAUUAAUAACAAUUCUAUUAAGCUGAUGCUUCAAUUUUUGAAGUUAUU
rnacentral:tRNA from 1 species